rnacentral:lncRNA from 1 species
AAAAAAGAGAAAGUUUCCAUGUUUUGUCUGUAAUUAUAGCAAGUUCCAUAUAUUGGUAAAAAGGUUACUGACUUUCUUUUACUGCCUUUCCGAGAAAAAAAAAUCAGAACCCAGCAUAUGAGUCCAAGAUUUCAUUCACAAGGAAGAUAACCAGAUAAGGGAAUCUUUCGAUGAUAGAGUGUGCAAAAUCAAAUACGUGAUUGACAACAAGGACCUCUAGUUUAUUAUAUUAUUGAGAUAUAAAAUGCUGGAAGACGACGAGUUUUAGGGCGUGGGACAUGGUGCCUUUUCUCAACCAUCCCUCACUUGGAG